AUUUAGGUAGACGGCGGGGUAACGGCCCACCGUGCCCGCGAUGGGUAGCCGGACUGAGAGGUCGACCGGCCACAUUGGGACUGAGAUACGGCCCAGACUCCUACGGGAGGCAGCAGUGGGGAAUUUUGCGCAAUGGGGGAAACCCUGACGCAGCAACGCCGCGUGCGGGACGAAGGCCCUCGGGUUGUAAACCGCUUUCAGCAGGGAAGAUCCAAGACGGUACCUGCAGAAGAAGCUCCGGCUAACUACGUGCCAGCAGCCGCGGUAAUACGUAGGGGGCGAGCGUUAUCCGGAUUCAUUGGGCGUAAAGCGCGCGUAGGCGGCCGCCUAAGCGGGACCUCUAACCCCGGGGCUCAACCCCGGGCCGGGUCCCGGACUGGGCGGCUCGAGUGCGGUAGAGGAGAGCGGAAUUCCCGGUGUAGCGGUGGAAUGCGCAGAUAUCGAGAAGNNCCCCGNUGGCGNNGGCNGCUCUCUGGGCCGUCCCUGNCGCUGNGGCGCGAAAGCUGGGGCCCCUAUAGGGAUNANAUACCNNNNNANUCCCAACCNNAAACCCCCAUGAAGGGGUGUGGGGGGACGAUCCCUCCGUGCCGCAGCCAACGCAUUAAGCGCCCCGCCUGGGGAGUACGGCCGCAAGGCUAAAACUCAAAGGAAUUGACGGGGGCCCGCACAAGCAGCGGAGCAUGUGGCUUAAUUCGAAGCAACGCGAAGAACCUUACCAGGGCUUGACAUGCCGAUGAAGCCGGGGAGACCCGGUGGCCGAGAGGAGUCGGCGCAGGUGGUGCAUGGCUGUCGUCAGCUCGUGUCGUGAGAUGUUGGGUUAAGUCCCGCAACGAGCGCAACCCCCGCCCCGUGUUGCCAGCAUUCAGUUGGGGACUCGCGGGGGACUGCCGGCGUCAAGCCGGAGGAAGGUGGGGACGACGUCAAGUCAUCAUGCCCCUUAUGCCCUGGGCUGCACACGUGCUACAAUGGCCGGUACAGAGGGUUGCCACCCCGCGAGGGGGAGCGGAUCCCGGAAAGCCGGUCCCAGUUCGGAUCGCAGGCUGCAACCCGCCUGCGUGAAGCCGGAGUUGCUAGUAAU
rnacentral:rRNA from 1 species